GACGAACGCUGGCGGCGUGCCUAAUACAUGCAAGUCGAGCGAAUCUUUGGGAGCUUGCUCCCAAAGAUUAGCGGCGGACGGGUGAGUAACACGUGGGCAACCUGCCUAUAAGACUGGGAUAACUUCGGGAAACCGGAGCUAAUACCGGAUAAUUCAUAUCUACUCAUGUAGAUAUGCUGAAAGACGGUUUCGGCUGGCACUUAUAGAUGGGCCCGCGGCGCAUUAGCUAGUUGGUGAGGUAAUGGCUCACCAAGGCAACGAUGCGUAGCCGACCUGGGAGGGUGAUCGGCCACACUGGGACUGAGACACGGCCCAGACUCCUACGGGAGGCAGCAGUAGGGAAUCUUCCGCAAUGGACGAAAGUCUGACGGAGCAACGCCGCGUGAGUGAUGAAGGUUUUCGGAUCAUAAAACUCUGUUGUUAGGGAAGAAUAAGUACCAGAGUAACUGCUGGUACCUUGACGGUACCUAACCAGAAAGCCACGGCUAACUACGUGCCAGCCGCCGCAGUAA
rnacentral:rRNA from 1 species